UAACUUUGCCGCAGUUUUGGUUUCACUUCCCCUACGCUACGGGGUAAGUGAUGAAAAGGGAAUCAGGUGAAACUCCUGAACAGACCCGCUGCUGUAAGUUCCUUCCAAGUCUUGGAACACUCUGUGCCACUGUCCGUAAGUUGGAUGGGAAGGCGUUCUAAGAUGGAAUAAGUCAGAAGACCUGCCAGAAACAACAUAGUUUUA
rnacentral:ncRNA from 21 species